rnacentral:rRNA from 1 species
UACAGAGGUCUCGAGCGUUAGGCGGAAUCACUGGGCUUAAAGCGUGUGUAGGCGGAUCGUUAAGUACCUUGUGAAAUCCCACGGCUUAACCGUGGAACUGCUUGGUAUACUGGCGGUCUUGAGCCAGCUAGGGGCUACCGGAACAAAUGGUGGAGCGGUGAAAUGCGUAGAUAUCAUUUGGAACGCCAAUGGUGAAAACAGGUAGCUGGGGCUGUGCUGACGCUGAGACACGAAAGCCAGGGGAGCAAACGGGG